UCGGGAGCCGUAGCUUUAAAAUCAUGCAGGCUUAGUGUACUCUGUUACCUAGCAACAGCCAUAAAUCAACAGAACAUGCUGGAAUGUUAAAGCAAACCUUCCUGGCUGUUAGAUGCGUUGGCCUUUUUUAAUCCAAACAUGCUCAUUUGCCACCACGCCUCGGCUACACCCAGCUUCCAGCCUGCAGCAUACCUGGGUUUGCACAUUUUUUAAACCACCUUAGGGUCUGUCUGAUUUUUCCGCCUGAGUCUUUUGUGCCUUCUUAGCACUCUGGCCAGCACCCAGCGACAGGAUCAGGCAGGCUCUGCUGACGUGGCCGGGGCAGGACCCGUUGGUCUAGCCUGAAUACCUCCGUCUCAGCCCUACAGCCAGGGGUCCAGACCAGCCCUGAAGUAUCUAGAAACACAGGGGACGCCAGAGACCCUGGUUCCUUACCGUAGGUUUCCAAAUCGCCUGUCAACCUGGUCCGCUCGACAGGAACACAGCACCUCCCGCACGCCAGGCCUUGCCCUCAAGAGCUUGCAUCCUACUGGGGCAAGGAGCUGAAUGUAACACCGAAGCACUGGUCUCCAAGACGGAGGGCCACCUGGACCACAUGGGUGCCAGAUGCCCAGAAUACAAGAGGGAAUGACAGAAACCCAGCCCCUAACUCAGACACUCACAGCCCAGGUGGAGGCCAGCAAGCACCCAGGGCGCCAAGCACACGCGGCACGUAGUCCAGCUCAAAGAUGCCAAGGUGCUUUGAAACAGAACUGCUGCCAGGAGGAAGAGGAGGCUCUUGGGCUGGACCUUCCGAGUUUCUCCUGCUGGAUAACCUUUGCAUGGUAUAUGAGUUCCCAGGCUGCCAUUAUAAAUUACCACACAGUCUGUGGCUUAAAACAACAGAAACAUGUCCUCUCACAGUUCUGGAUGCGUCUUACAGGGCUAAAAUCAAAGUGUUGGCAGGGCCGGUGCCUUCCAGAAGCUUCAGGGAGACUCUGUCCCAGGGCCCCCUCCCAGCUCCCCAUGGCUGCACUCCUUGGUGCCCCUUGGCUUGUGGACACAUCACCCCAGUCUCUGCCUCCUCCUCUGCAUCUCCCUAACCCCCCUCUCUAUUCUCUUAUGAGAACACCAGUCAUGGGAUUUAGGACCAGUUACCAGAGAGCAAAACCAGGACAAUCUUGUCUUGAGAUCUUAUUUAAUUACUUCUGCAAAGACUCUUAUUUCCAAAUGUGUCACAUUCACAGUUACUGCAAAUUAGAUCUUGGACAUAUUUUGUGGGGGGACAAAGUUCAGCCCUCUAUUUAUGGAAAGAAAAUCCUAACUUUGAAAGAAACACAUUCAUAGUGUGAAAAUAAUCAGACCAAAGAAUCAUCCCAUCUGGACCCCACCAGCCCUGGCCUCUGAGGAUGGGAUUUACUGAGAGCUGAUCUGUGAAAUGGACACAACAAAGGCUUUGCUUGGACACCCAUCCUUGCAUUUCCAGUGAACGCCCACCUACAAUCAAUAUGUGAUGAAGGGAGGAGGGAAGGGCCAUGUUAGGGGAAGAAGAGCCAAGUCUAGGUGUAAGUUCAUUUGGAAUCAUGGAUAUUCCCUAGGCACCCUCUGUGCAUUAAAGUCUGUGAUAGGCUGGGCACAG